rnacentral:rRNA from 1 species
CCAAAUGACUCUCGGCAACGGAUAUCUCGGCUCUUGCAUCGAUGAAGAACGUAGCGAAAUGCGAUACUUGGUGUGAAUUGCAGAAUCCCGUGAACCAUCGAGUCUUUGAACGCAAGUUGCGCCUGAAGCCAUCAGGUUGAAGGCACGUCUGCCUGGGCGUCACGCAU